AAUUUUGGACUAUGGGGGAAACCCUGAUCCAGCCAUCCCGCGUGUAUGAUGAAGGCCUUCGGGUUGUAAAGUACUUUUGGCAGAGAAGAAAAGGUACCUCCUAAUACGAGGUACUGCUGACGGUAUCUGCAGAAUAAGCACCGGCUAACUACGUGCUAUCAGCCGCGGAAAUACGUAGGGUGCAAGCGUUAAUCGGAAUUACUGGGCGUAAAACGUGUGUAGGGGGGUUGGGAAGAAAGGAGGUGAAACCCAGGGCUUAAACUUGGAAAUUGAAUUUUAAAUGGCGAGCUAGAGUAAGUACGAGGGGGGGAGAAUUUCACGUGGAGGAGUGAAAUGGGUAGGUAAGUGGAAGAAAACCGAAGGGCGAAGCAGGCCCCUGGGAUAAUACUGACGCUCAGACACGAAAGCGUGGGGAGCAAACA
rnacentral:rRNA from 1 species